AGCGAACGCUGGCGGCAGGCCUAACACAUGCAAGUCGAACGAACUCUUCGGAGUUAGUGGCGGACGGGUGAGUAACACGUGGGAACGUGCCUUUAGGUUCGGAAUAACUCAGGGAAACUUGUGCUAAUACCGAAUGUGCCCUUCGGGGGAAAGAUUUAUCGCCUUUAGAGCGGCCCGCGUCUGAUUAGCUAGUUGGUGAGGUAAAGGCUCACCAAGGCGACGAUCAGUAGCUGGUCUGAGAGGAUGAUCAGCCACAUUGGGACUGAGACACGGCCCAAACUCCUACGGGAGGCAGCAGUGGGGAAUCUUGCGCAAUGGGCGAAAGCCUGACGCAGCCAUGCCGCGUGAAUGAUGAAGGUCUUAGGAUUGUAAAAUUCUUUCACCGGGGACGAUAAUGACGGUACCCGGAGAAGAAGCCCCGGCUAACUUCGUGCCAGCCGCCGCCGUAACAC
rnacentral:rRNA from 1 species